UACGGAGGAUGCAAGCGUUAUCCGGAUUUAUUGGGCGUAAAGCGUCUGUAGGUGGUUUGAUAAGUCUCGUGUUAAAUCCUAGGGCUUAACCCUAGAAUGGCAUUGGAAACUAUCAAGCUUGAGUUCGGUAGGGGUAGAGGGAAUUCCCAGUGUAGCGGUGAAAUGCGUAGAUAUUGGGAAGAACACUUAUGGCGAAAGCACUCUACUAGGCCGAUACUGACACUCAGAGACGAAAGCUAGGGUAGCAAACGGG
rnacentral:rRNA from 1 species